rnacentral:rRNA from 1 species
AGAGUUUGAUUAUGGCUCAGGAUGAACGCUGGCGGCGUGCCUAAUACAUGCAAGUCGAGCGAACCACUUCGGUGGGAAGCGGCGAACGGGUGAGUAACACGUAGGUGAUCUGCCCAUCAGACGGGGACAACGAUUGGAAACGAUCGCUAAUACCGGAUAGGACGAAAGUUUAAAGAUGCUCCUGGCAUCACUGAUGGAUGAGCCUGCGGCGCAUUAGCUAGUUGGUGGGGUAAAGGCCUACCAAGGCGACGAUGCGUAGCCGACCUGAGAGGGUGAACGGCCACACUGGGACUGAGACACGGCCCAGACUCCUACGGGAGGCAGCAGUAGGGAAUCUUCGGCAAUGGGCGAAAGCCUGACCGAGCAACGCCGCGUGAAUGAAGAAGGCCUUCGGGUUGUAAAAUUCUGUUAUAAGGGAAGAAAGGUGAUAGGAGGAAAUGACUAUCAAUUGACGGUACCUUAUGAGAAAGCCACGGCUAACUACGUGCCAGCAGCCGCGGUAAUACGUAGGUGGCAAGCGUUAUCCGGAAUUAUUGGGCGUAAAGAGCGCGCAGGUGGUUAAUUAAGUCUGAUGUGA